rnacentral:rRNA from 1 species
GACGAACGCUGGCGGCGUGCUUAACACAUGCAAGUCGAACGAAGUGGCGAACGGGUGAGUAACGCGUAAUCAACCUGCCCUUCAGAGGGGGACAACAGUUGGAAACGACUGCUAAUACCACAUACUGAAGGAGGGGAUUGCGUCGGAUUAGCUCGUUGGAGGGGUAACGGCCCACCAAGGCGAUGAUCAGUAGACGGUCUGGGAGGAGGAACGGCCACAUUGGGACUGGGACCCGGGCCAGACUCCUACGGGGGGGCACAGUGGGGAAUCUUCCGCAAUGGACGAAAGUCUGAAGGAGCAACGCCGCGUGAGUGAUGACGGCGUUCGGGUUGUAAAGCUCUGUUAAUCGGGGCGCGGUACCGGAAUAGAAAGCCACGGCUAACUACGUGCCAGCCGCCGCGGUAAUAC